rnacentral:rRNA from 1 species
UACGUAGGGGGCAAGCGUUGUCCGGAAUUAUUGGGCGUAAAGAGCGUGUAGGCGGCCAGAUAAGUCCGCUGUGAAAUCUCGAGGCUCAACUUCGAGCUGUCGGUGGAAACUAUCUGGCUAGAGUCCGGAAGAGGAGAAUGGAAUUCCCGGUGUAGCGGUGAAAUGCGCAGAUAUCGGGAGGAACACCAGUGGCGAAGGCGGCACUCUGGGCCGGUACUGACGCUGAGGAGCGAAAGCGUGGGGAGCGAACAGG